UUACGAUCAUAUCACGUUGAAAUACCAGUUCUCGUACGAUCACCGAAGUUAAGCAAAGUCGAACCUGGUCAGUACUUAGAUGGGUGCCUGCUUGUGAAUACCAGGUGUUGUAAG